rnacentral:rRNA from 1 species
CCCUUAGAUGUCCUGGGCCGCACGCGCGUUACACUGAUGCAUUCAACGAGCUUAUAACCUUGGCCGAGAGGCCUGGGCAAUCUUGUUAACGUGCAUCGUGAUAGGGAUAGAUUAUUGAAAUUAUUAAUCUUGAACGAGGAAUUCCUAGUAAACGCAGAUCAUCAAUCUGCAUUGAUUACGUCCCUGCCCUUUGUACACACCGCCCGUCGCACCUACCGAUUGGAUGGUCCGGUGAAGCCUCGGGAUUGUGGUUCUUGCCGCUUUAUUGUGGGGUGACCGCGAGAACUUGUCUAAACCUUAUCAUCUAGAGGAAGGUGAAGUCGUAACA